UUACGUUAAGUAGCAAGGUUAAGCACUUAAGGUGCGGAGCCGUAGCGAAAGCGAGUUUUAACUGAGCGUUCAGUUACUUGACGUAGACCCGAAACCGGGCGACCUACCCAUGAGCAGGAUGAAGCGAAAGUAAAAUUUCGUGGAGGUCCGAACCCACGAGCGUUGAAAAGCUCGGGGAUGACUUGUGGGUAGCGGUGAAAUUCCAAUCGAGCCCGGAGAUAGCUGGUUCUCCCCGAAAUAGCUUUAGGGCUAGCCUCAAGGUGAGAGAUACGGAGGUAGAGCACUGAAUGUCCUAGGGGGUAUUGCACCUACCGAAGACUAUCAAACUCCGAAUGCCGUCAUCUUAUACUUGGGAGUCAGACUGUGGGUGAUAAGAUUCAUAGUCGAAAGGGCAACAGCCCAGAUCGUCAGCUAAGGUCCCUAAAUGUAAGUUAAGUGGUAAAGGAUGUGGGAUUGCACAGACAACCAGGAUGUUGGCUUAGAAGCAGCCACUCAUUCAAAGAGUGCGUAAUAGCUCACUGGUCGAGUGAUCCUGCGCCGAAGAUUUCCGGGGCUAAAACUUACUACCGAAGCUACGGCAUCAGUAAUGAUGGGUAGGGGAGCUUCCCAUACGGGUUGAAGCAUGACCGUAAGGACAUGUGGACAGUAUGGGAGUGAGAAUGUUGGCAUGAGUAGCGAGAUGUGGGUGAGAAUCCCACAGGCCGUAAACCCAAGGUUUCCAGGGGAAGGUUCGUCCGCCCUGGGUUAGUCGGGACCUAAGCUGAGGCCG
rnacentral:rRNA from 1 species